rnacentral:rRNA from 1 species
AGAGUUUGAUCAUGGCUCAGAUUGAACGCUGGCGGCAUGCCUUACACAUGCAAGUCGAACGGUAACGGGCCUUCGGGUGCCGACGAGUGGCGAACGGUGAGUAAUGCAUCGGAACGUACCUUUCAGUGGGGAUAACGUAGCGAAAGUUACGCUAAUACCGCAUAUUCUGUGAGCAGGAAAGCAGGGGAUCGCAAGACCUUGCGCUGAUUGAGCGGCCGAUGUCAGAUUAGCUAGUUGGUGAGGUAAAGGCUCACCAAGGCGACGAUCUGUAGCGGGUCUGAGAGGAUGAUCCGCCACACUGGAACUGAGACACGGUCCAGACUCCUACGGGAGGCAGCAGUGGGGAAUUUUGGACAAUGGGGGCAACCCUGAUCCAGCCAUGCCGCGUGAGUGAAGAAGGCCUUCGGGUUGUAAAGCUCUUUCGGCCGGGAAGAAAUCGCAUGGGUUAAUACCCUGUGCGGAUGACGGUACCGGCAUAAGAAGCACCGGCUAACUACGUG